rnacentral:rRNA from 1 species
UAGUCAUAUGCUUGUCUUAAAGAUUAAGCCAUGCAUGUCUAAGUAUAAGUAUUAUACAUCGAAACUGCGAAUGGCUCAUUAAAUCAGUUAUAGUUUACUUGGUUGAUACCUACUACUUGGAUAACUGUAGUAAUUCUAGAGCUAAUACAUGCAAAACACCCCGACUUCGAGGAAGGGGUGCGCUUAUUAGAUACAAACCCAAUGCAGCAAUGCUUUUUGGUGAAUCUAGAUAAUCUUCCGAUCGUAUGACCUUGUGUCGACGACCGACCAAUCAAGUU